rnacentral:rRNA from 1 species
CGUCACACUAUCAUUAACUGAAUCCAUAGGUUAAUGAGGCGAACCGGGGGAACUGAAACAUCUAAGUACCCCGAGGAAAAGAAAUCAACCGAGAUUCCCCCAGUAGCGGCGAGCGAACGGGGAGGAGCCCAGAGCCUGAAUCAGCAUGUGUGUUAGUGGAAGCGUCUGGAAAGGCGCGCGAUACAGGGUGACAGCCCCGUACACAAAAGCGCAUGUGCUGUGAGCUCGAUGAGUAGGGCGGGACACGUGGUAUCCUGUCUGAAUAUGGGGGGACCAUCCUCCAAGGCUAAAUACUCCUGACUGACCGAUAGUGAACCAGUACCGUGAGGGAAAGGCGAAAAGAACCCCGGCGAGGGGAGUGAAAAAGAACCUGAAACCGUGUACGUACAAGCAGUGGGAGCACCCUUUGGGUGUGACUGCGUACCUUUUGUAUAAUGGGUCAGCGACUUAUAUUCUGUAGCAAGGUUAACCGAAUAGGGGAGCCGGAGGGAAACCGAGUCUUAACCGGGCGUUAAGUUGCAGGGUAUAGACCCGAAACCCGGUGAUCUAGCCAUGGGCAGGUUGAAGGUUGGGUAACACUAACUGGAGGACCGAACCGACUAAUGUUGAAAAAUUAGCGGAUGACCUGUGGCUGGGGGUGAAAGGCCAAUCAAACCGGGAGAUAGCUGGUUCUCCCCGAAAGCUAUUUAGGUAGCGCCUCGUGAAUUCAUCUCCGGGGGUAGAGCACUGUUUCGGCUAGGGGGCCAUCCCGGCUUACCAACCCGAUGCAAACUGCGAAUACCGGAGAAUGUUAUCACGGGAGACACACGGCGGGUGCUAACGUCCGUCGUGAAGAGGGAAACAACCCAGACCGCCAGCUAAGGUCCCAAAGUCAUGGUUAAGUGGGAAACGAUGUGGGAAGGCCCAGACAGCCAGGAUGUUGGCUUAGAAGCAGCCAUCAUUUAAAGAAAGCGUAAUAGCUCACUGGUCGAGUCGGCCUGCGCGGAAGAUGUAACGGGGCUAAACCAUGCACCGAAGCUGCGGCAGCGACACUGUGUGUUGUUGGGUAGGGGAGCGUUCUGUAAGCCUGUGAAGGUGU